UACAGAGGUCUCAAGCGUUGUUCGGAUUCAUUGGGCGUAAAGGGUGCGUAGGUGGCGCCGUAAGUCAGGUGUGAAAUCUCGGGGCUCAACCCCGAAACUGCACUUGAUACUGCGGUGCUCGAGUACUGGAGAGGAGAUUGGAAUUUACGGUGUAGCAGUGAAAUGCGUAGAUAUCGUAAGGAAGACCAGUGGCGAAGGCGGCUCACUGGCCCGGUACUGACGCUGAGGUGCGAAAGCGUGGGGAGCAAACAGG
rnacentral:rRNA from 1 species